rnacentral:rRNA from 2 species
UACGAGGGGGGCAAGCGUUGUUCGGAAUUAUUGGGCGUAAAGGGCGCGUAGGCGGUUUGGCAAGUCUAGUGUGAAAUCUUCGGGCUCAACUCGAAGUCUGCACUGGAAACUGCCGGGCUUGAGUAUGGGAGAGGUGAGUGGAAUUUCCGGUGUAGCGGUGAAAUGCGUAGAUAUCGGAAGGAACACCUGUGGCGAAAGCGGCUCACUGGACCAUAACUGACGCUGAGGCGCGAAAGCUAGGGGAGCAAACAGG